GGAGGAUUUACCGGACAUCACCCAUUAUCGAUACGUCAGCGUCGCUCCAGACGACUACGACGGCUCCAUCUCCCUUACAGUGAACACUCACUCAAACAUUCUGGCUGUAAUCAACCUUUUUCGUCAACUGCUUAUGAAACGGUAAAAGCGACAAGUCUAGAAAGCCUUUAAGACAGCGCCUAAAAUUGCCCUCAAUUGGCGGUGCUUUUAAAGACGGUUUCUAAAACGGACGUUUACAUACCUAAUCCUGAGGAGCUCCAAGGGACAAGAAGGGAUGUGCGAAUCAAACCGGCAAUGUUCCACGACGACGACAAUUCGGGCUCGCGUUUGACUCCGGAUUGAUUAACCAAGAUCGAGCCCCAGGACUAGCAAUCGACGACUGUCGAAGGAAAUUGCGGCUCCAAUGAACAUGGCCCUCCCCGCGCUCAGUAAAUAGUAGGCUUGGAACGGACACACCGGCGAUAUCGGGAUCGUUCCCGGGAGGAUGGUGGAUUUGGAUCUUACUCCGUAAUGCCUGGCGGGCGGGUAAGUUCUCCCAAUAUGAAUGAAUUCCAAAGC